rnacentral:tRNA from 1 species
AUUCAAAUAGCUUAUAUAGAGUAUGGCUUUGAAGAAGCUAGGGAGAUAAUAAUAUCUUUGAAUA